UACGAAGGGGGCUAGCGUUGCUCGGAAUCACUGGGCGUAAAGCGCACGUAGGCGGAUUGUUAAGUCAGGGGUGAAAUCCUUGAGCUCAACUCCAGAACUGCCUUUGAUACUGGCGAUCUCGAGUCCGGGAGAGGUGAGUGGAACUGCGAGUGUAGAGGUGAAAUUCGUAGAUAUUCGCAAGAACACCAGUGGCGAAGGCGGCUCACUGGCCCGGUACUGACGCUGAGGCGCGACAGCGUGGGGAGCAAACAGG
rnacentral:rRNA from 1 species